rnacentral:rRNA from 1 species
GACGAACGCUGGCGGCGUGCUUAACACAUGCAAGUCGAACGGUAAGGCCCUUCGGGGUACACGAGUGGCGAACGGGUGAGUAACACGUGGGCGAUCUGCCCUGCACUUCGGGAUAAGCCUGGGAAACUGGGUCUAAUACCGGAUAGGACCACUGCCUGCAUGGGUGGUGGUGGAAAGCCUUUGCGGUGUGGGAUGGGCCCGCGGCCUAUCAGCUUGUUGGUGGGGUGAUGGCCUACCAAGGCGACGACGGGUAGCCGGCCUGAGAGGGUGACCGGCCACACUGGGUCUGAGAUACUGCCCAGACUCCUACGGGAGGCAGCAGUGGGGAAUAUUGCACAAUGGGCGCAAGCCUGAUGCAGCGACGCCGCGUGAGGGAUGACGGCCUUCGGGUUGUAAACCUCUUUCAGCACCGACGAAGCGCAAGUGACGGUAGGUGCAGAAGAAGGACCGGCCAACUACGUGCCAGCCGCCGCGGUAAAAC